rnacentral:rRNA from 1 species
UUUUAUGGAGAGUUUGAUCCUGGCUCAGGAUGAACGCUGGCGGCGUGCCUAAUACAUGCAAGUCGAGCGAACGGACGAGAAGCUUGCUUCUCUGAUGUUAGCGGCGGACGGGUGAGUAACACGUGGAUAACCUACCUAUAAGACUGGGAUAACUUCGGGAAACCGGAGCUAAUACCGGAUAAUAUUUUGAACCGCAUGGUUCAAAAGUGAAAGACGGUCUUGCUGUCACUUAUAGAUGGAUCCGCGCUGCAUUAGCUAGUUGGUAAGGUAACGGCUUACCAAGGCAACGAUGCAUAGCCGACCUGAGAGGGUGAUCGGCCACACUGGAACUGAGACACGGUCCAGACUCCUACGGGAGGCAGCAGUAGGGAAUCUUCCGCAAUGGGCGAAAGCCUGACGGAGCAACGCCGCGUGAGUGAUGAAGGUCU